CCUACGGGAGGCAGCAGUGAGGAAUAUUGGUCAAUGGCCGAGAGGCUGAACCAGCCAAGUCGCGUGAGGGAAGACGGCCCUACGGGUUGUAAACCUCUUUUGUCGGGGAGCAAAGCGAACCACGUGUGGCUCAUUGCAAGUACCCGAUGAAAAAGCAUCGGCUAACUCCGUGCCAGCAGCCGCGGUAAUACGGAGGAUGCGAGCGUUAUCCGGAUUUAUUGGGUUUAAAGGGUGCGCAGGGGGAGGUGCAAGUCAGCGGUCAAAUUUCGGGGCUCAACCCCGUACUGCCGUUGAAACUGGAAGCCUUGAGUGCGCGAGAGGUAUGCGGAAUGCGUGGUGUAGCGGUGAAAUGCAUAGAUAUCACGCAGAACGCCGAUUGCGAAGGCAGCAUACCGGCGCGUAACUGACGCUGAUGCACGAAAGCGUGGGUAUCGAACAGGAUUAGAUACCCGAGUAGUC
rnacentral:rRNA from 1 species